rnacentral:tRNA from 1 species
GGGAUUGUGGCUUAGUGGUAGAGCACUUGCCUAGCAUGUGAGGCACUGGGUUCGAUUCCUAGCACCA